rnacentral:rRNA from 1 species
UAACGUGUGGGCAACCUGCCUCAUACAGAGGGAUAAUCAUGUGAAAACGUGACUAAUACCGCAUGUCAUUUGUUGAAGGCAUCUUCGACAAAGAAAAGGAGCAAUCCGGUAUGAGAUGGGCCCGCAUCUGAUUAGCUAGUUGGUGAGAUAACAGCCCACCAAGGCAACGAUCAGUAGCCGACCUGAGAGGGUGAUCGGCCACAUUGGGACUGAGACACGGCCCAAACUCCUACGGGAGGCAGCAGUGGGGAAUAUUGCACAAUGGGGGAAACCCUGAUGCAGCAACGCCGCGUGAAGGAAGACGGUUUUCGGAUUGUAAACUUCUAUCAAUAGGGACGAAGAAAGUGACGGUACCUAAAUAAGAAGCCCCGGCUAACUACGUGCCAGCAGCCGCGGUAAUACGUAGGGGGCAAGCGUUAUCCGGAAUUACUGGGUGUAAAGGGUGAGUAGGCGGCAUGACAAGUAAGAUGUGAAAGCCCGUGGCUUAACCACGGGAUUGCAUUUUAAACUGUUGAGCUAGAGUACAGGAGAGGAAAGCGGAAUUCCCAGUGUAGCGGUGAAAUGCGUAGAUAUUGGGAAGAACACCAGUGGCGAAGGCGGCUUUCUGGACUGAAACUGACGCUGAGGCACGAAAGCGUGGGGAGCAAACAGGAUUAGAUACCCUGGUAGUCCACGCCGUAAACGAUGAGUGCUAGGUG